GAAAUGCGAUAAUUAAUGUGAAUUGCAGAAUUCAGUGAAUCAUCGAGUCUUUGAACGCACAUUGCGCCCCCUGGUAUUCCGGGGGGCAUGCCUGUCCGAGCGUCAUUGCUGCCCUCAAGCACGGCUUGUGUGUUGGGCUUCCGUCCCUGGCAACGGGGACGGGCCCAAAAGGCAGUGGCGGCACCAUGUCUGGUCCUCGAGCGUCUGGGGCUUUGUCACCCGCUCCCGUAGGUCCAGCUGGCAGCUAGCCUCGCAACCAAUCUUUUUAACCAGGUUGACCUCGGAUCAGGUAGGGAUACCCGCUGAACUUAAGC
rnacentral:misc_RNA from 1 species